CAUUUUACCAGAUUUGGGAGCCCAUACAGGAAGCAUUGCGUGAAGAACUGCCUGAUAGAUGACUCAAAUCUGUCUUUUACUAGCCUGAUUGUUGCUCUGGAUUGGUUGGACAUACUGAGUGUCCUGUCUGUGAAGAGGCCAAAUUCUUCCACUUCAAAGCCAUUUUAACACAAUUAGGGGAUACAAGGGUAUAUUUUCUGCAAUGAAAACAAAUUUUGCUGAUUUUCAUCGGAGUCAACUUCCAGGAUUUUAUGGAGUCAGACCUAAUGACAGUCUUGUGAUAAGCUCUGACUAGUAUUGAGUGUGCCAAAGGAAAUUACACAAGUCAGCAGUCCUUAAAAUGCUACAGCCAAUGUUUAAAGUGAUGCAACUACAUGAAGGCCAGCCCACCAGAAUAGUCACCUCCAACCUUCUAGGUCAUCCAUCCACGUCAACUGGAAAGUACGCUGACGUGUUUCACAGCAGCAUAUAAAAGGCAUGCACUUGGCGGGCUGCACUUUGAGGGGAACUCGGAGGUGAGUACACAGCAAUGACGUGCAGCGCUUGCCAGGUUCGC